ACGGGUGAGUAAUGUCUGGGGAUCUGCCCGAUAGAGGGGGAUAACCACUGGAAACGGUGGCUAAUACCGCAUAACGUCGCAAGACCAAAGAGGGGGACCUUCGGGCCUCUCACUAUCGGAUGAACCCAGAUGGGAUUAGCUAGUAGGCGGGGUAAUGGCCCACCUAGGCGACGAUCCCUAGCUGGUCUGAGAGGAUGACCAGCCACACUGGAACUGAGACACGGUCCAGACUCCUACGGGAGGCAGCAGUGGGGAAUAUUGCACAAUGGGCGCAAGCCUGAUGCAGCCAUGCCGCGUGUAUGAAGAAGGCCUUCGGGUUGUAAAGUACUUUCAGCGGGGAGGAAGGCGAUGUGGUUAAUAACCGCGUCGAUCGACGUUACCCGCAGAAGAAGCACCGGCUAACUCCGUGCCAGCAGCCGCGGUAAUACGGAGGGUGCAAGCGUUAAUCGGAAUUACUGGGCGUAAAGCGCACGCAGGCGGUCUGUUAAGUCAGAUGUGAAAUCCCCGGGCUUAACCUGGGAACUGCAUUUGAAACUGGCAGGCUUGAGUCUCGUAGAGGGGGGUAGAAUUCCAGGUGUAGC
rnacentral:rRNA from 1 species